GCGCUAUUAGAUGAGCCUACGUCGGAUUAGCUUGUUGGUGGGGUAAAGGCCUACCAAGGCGACGAUCCGUAGCUGGUCUGAGAGGACGAUCAGCCACACUGGGACUGAGACACGGCCCAG
rnacentral:rRNA from 1 species